ACAGGGAUUGCCCUAGUAACGGCGAGUGAAGCGGCAACAGCUCAAAUUUGAAAUCUGGCCCUCGCGGUCCGAGUUGUAAUUUGUAGAGGAUGCUUUGGGCGCGGCGCCUUCCAAGUUCCCUAGAACGGGACGCCUUAGAGGGUGAGAGCCCCGUACGGUUGGACGCCUAGCCUAUGUAUAGCUCCUUCGACGAGUCGAGUAGUUUGGGAAUGCUGCUCUAAAUGGGAGGUAAAUUUCUUCUAAAGCUAAAUACCGGCCAGAGACCGAUAGCGCACAAGUAGAGUGAUCGAAAGAUGAAAAGUACUUUGAAAAGAGGGUUAAAUAGCACGUGAAAUUGUUGAAAGGGAAGCGUUUGCGACCAGACCUUUUCCAGGCGGAUCAUCCGGCGUUCUCGCCGGUGCACUUCGCCUGGUUUAGGCCAGCAUCGGUUUUCCCAGGGGGAUAAAGGCGGCGGGAACGUAGCUCUUUCGGGAGUGUUAUAGCCCGCCGCGUAAUACCCUUGGGGGGACCGAGGACCGCGCUUCGGCAAGGAUGCUGGCGUAAUGGUCGUCAACGACCCGUCUUGAAACACGGACCAAGGAGUCGAACAUUUGUGCGAGUGUUUGGGUGUCAAACCCUCACGCGUAAUGAAAGUGAACGGAGGUGAGAGCCCCUCGCGGGUGCAUCAUCGACCGAUCCUGAUGUCUUCGGAUGGAUUUGAGUAAGAGCAUAACUGUUCGGACCCGAAAGAUGGUGAACUAUGCGUGGAUAGGGUGAAGCCAGAGGAAACUCUGGUGGAGGCUCGCAGCGGUUCUGACGUGCAAAUCGAUCGUCAAAUCUGCGCAUGGGGGCGAAAGACUU
rnacentral:rRNA from 1 species